AUUGAACGCUGGCGGCAGGCUUAACACAUGCAAGUCGAGCGGGGGAAGGUAGCUUGCUACCGGACCUAGCGGCGGACGGGUGAGUAAUGCUUAGGAAUCUGCCUAUUAGUGGGGGACAACAUCUCGAAAGGGAUGCUAAUACCGCAUACGUCCUACGGGAGAAAGCAGGGGAUCUUCGUACCUUGCGCUAAUAGAUGAGCCUAAGUCGGAUUAGCUAGUUGGUGGGGUAAAGGCCUACCAAGGCGACGAUCUGUAGCGGGUCUGAGAGGAUGAUCCGGCAAACUGGGAAUGGCACACGGCCCAGAUUCCUACGGGAGGCAGCAGUGGGGAAGAUUGGACAAUGGGGGGAACCCUGAUCCAGCCAUGCCGGGGGUGUGAAGAAGGCCUUAUGGUUGUAAAGCACUUUAAGCGAGGAGGAGGCUACUUUAGUUAAUACCUAGAGAUAGUGGACGUUACUCGCAGAAUAAGCACCGGCUAACUCUGUGCCAGCCGCCGCCGUAA
rnacentral:rRNA from 1 species